AAGUAAGCAACGCAAAGAGGUGAAGCUUGGACAAUGGGAAGAAUAAAGUAAUAUCUGAUUCUCUAUAUUGUAAAAGACAAAACCCUGGCCUUCCAUCAUCCUCUCCAAUCAGGGUGAAACUUGAGAAACAAGACAAUUUGUUUCGUGCAAAAUGAGAGACUAACAAUGUGAAGCUUGACACAUCUUAUAAAGGAAAAGGUAUGUCAUUCCAUUUUUUAUGGUUACUCUCAUCUAUAUAGUACUUGUUUAGUAACAAGAGACUCUUACUUUGUUGUUGAAUUAUAAGAGAUUUUUUGGUCUUCUCUUUCUCUAAGAUUUCACAGCCUUUGACAAGAAAAAAGACGUUUCCCUCUGAGAAG
rnacentral:lncRNA from 1 species